GUCAAGUUUUAUUUUUUAGAAAAAUCUUAAAUCAUCGCGUUAAAAUUGUUAUAAAUUAAGUAAUUAUACUGUAGAUAUAGUUAGUUAGUGUUUGAACAUUAAUUUAGUAGUUAAUUUAAAAGUUAAAACGGGAUAAUACGUUAGUAGUGAAUUAGAAAUACUAAGGACUUUUCUAUUCAGGAGCUAUGAGCUUAAGCCCAGAUGUACCUCAGGUACGGCUCUUGAAUAUUCAAGUCUAUAUUCACGGAUCCUGGCCGGAUAGCCCUGGCAGCUAAGGCCAUUCAAAUGAAGAGAAGAAGAAGAAGAA
rnacentral:lncRNA from 1 species